GGCUUCAAGUGCUUAUGAGGAGGCUGGGACAGCAAGGUCUUCAGAGGAAGUGUCAAGUGGGCAGCAGCAAUGCCAAAAUAGUGAAGCAUUGGCUGAAUGGAGGUCAUCUGAGCAGGUAGAAAAUGGAACUCCAUCAACUUCGCCUCCUUACUGGGAUUGUGAUGACGAUGAAGAUGUUGGCCCUAAACCUUCUGAGCUAUAUGGGAAAUAUACGUGGAAGAUCGAUAAGUUUUCACAAAUCAACAAGAGAGAACUUCGGAGUAAUGCAUUUGAUGUUGGCGGCUACAAAUGGUACAUUUUGAUAUACCCUCAGGGAUGUGAUGUUUGCAACCAUCUCUCAUUGUUUCUGUGUGUAGCUAAUCAUGACAAGCUCCUUCCAGGUUGGAGUCAUUUUGCUCAAUUCACUAUUGCUGUGGUGAACAAAGACCCAAAGAAGUCCAAGUAUUCAGAUACA
rnacentral:misc_RNA from 1 species